CGGAUUGUAAACUCCUUUUAGUGGGGAUGAAUGAGCGGGUGAAUAGCCCGAAAUGACAGUACUCACUGAAUAAGCCACGGCUAACUACGUGC
rnacentral:rRNA from 1 species